GAUGAACGCUAGCGGGAGGCCUAACACAUGCAAGCCGGGCGGUAGAGAUUCUUCGGGAUCUUGAGAGCGGCGUACGGGUGCGGAACACGUGUGCAACCUGCCUUUAUCAGGGGGAUAGCCUUUCGAAAGGAAGAUUAAUACCCCAUAAUAUAUUGAUUGGCAUCAAUUAAUAUUGAAAACUCCGGUGGAUAGAGAUGGGCACGCGCAAGAUUAGAUAGUUGGUAGGGUAACGGCCUACCAAGUCAAUGAUCUUUAGGGGGCCUGAGAGGGUGAUCCCCCACACUGGUACUGAGACACGGACCAGACUCCUACGGGAGGCAGCAGUGAGGAAUAUUGGACAAUGGGUGAGAGCCUGAUCCAGCCAUCCCGCGUGAAGGACGACGGCCCUAUGGGUUGUAAACUUCUUUUGUAUAGGGAUAAACCUUUCCACGUGUGGAAAGUUGAAGGUACUAUACGAAUAAGCACCGGCUAACUCCGCGCCAGCCGCCGCCGUAA
rnacentral:rRNA from 1 species